rnacentral:rRNA from 1 species
AGAGUUUGAUCCUGGCUCAGGAUGAACGCUAGCUACAGGCUUAACACAUGCAAGUCGAGGGGCAGCAUUUCAGUUUGCUUGCAAACUGGAGAUGGCGACCGGCGCACGGGUGAGUAACACGUAUCCAACCUGCCGAUAACUCGGGGGAUAGCCUUUCGAAAGAAAGAUUAAUACCCGAUGGUAUAAUCAGACCGCAUGGUCUUGUUAUUAAAGAAUUUCGGUUAUCGAUGGGGAUGCGUUCCAUUAGGCAGUUGGUGAGGUAACGGCUCACCAAACCUUCGAUGGAUAGGGGUUCUGAGAGGAAGGUCCCCCACAUUGGAACUGAGACACGGUCCAAACUCCUACGUGAGGCAGCAGUGAGGAAUAUUGGUCAAUGGGCGCAGGCCUGAACCAGCCAAGUAGCGUGAAGGAUGACUGCCCUAUGGGUUGUAAACUUCUUUUAUAUGGGAAUAAAGUUUUCCACGUGUGGAAUUUUGUAUGUACCAUAUGAAUAAGGAUCGGCUAACUCCGUGCCAGCAGCCGCGGUAAUACGGAGGAUCCGAGCGUUAUCCGGAUUUAUUGGGUUUAAAGGGAGCGUAGGUGGACAGUUAAGUCAGUUGUGAAAGUUUGCGGCUCAACCGUAAAAUUGCAGUUGAUACUGGCUGUCUUGAGUACAGUAGAGGUGGGCGGAAUUCGUGGUGUAGCGGUGAAAUGCUUAGAUAUCACGAAGAACUCCGAUUGCGAAGGCAGCUCACUGGACUGCAACUGACACUGAUGCUCGAAAGUGUGGGUAUCAAACAGGAUUAGAUACCCUGGUAGUCCACACAGUAAACGAUGAAUACUCGCUGUUUGCGAUAUACAGUAAGCGGCCAAGCGAAAGCAUUAAGUAUUCCACCUGGGGAGUACGCCGGCAACGGUGAAACUCAAAGGAAUUGACGGGGGCCCGCACAAGCGGAGGAACAUGUGGUUUAAUUCGAUGAUACGCGAGGAACCUUACCCGGGCUUAAAUUGCAUUUGAAUAUAUUGGAAACAGUAUAGCCGUAAGGCAAAUGUGAAGGUGCUGCAUGGUUGUCGUCAGCUCGUGCCGUGAGGUGUCGGCUUAAGUGCCAUAACGAGCGCAACCCUUAUCUUUAGUUACUAACAGGUUAUGCUGAGGACUCUAGAGAGACUGCCGUCGUAAGAUGUGAGGAAGGUGGGGAUGACGUCAAAUCAGCACGGCCCUUACGUCCGGGGCUACACACGUGUUACAAUGGGGGGUACAGAAGGCAGCUACCUGGUGACAGGAUGCUAAUCCCAAAAGCCUCUCUCAGUUCGGAUCGAAGUCUGCAACCCGACUUCGUGAAGCUGGAUUCGCUAGUAAUCGCGCAUCAGCCAUGGCGCGGUGAAUACGUUCCCGGGCCUUGUACUCACCGCCCGUCA